rnacentral:misc_RNA from 1 species
GAUGAAGAACGUAGUGAAAUGCGAUACGUAAUGUGAAUUGCAGAAUUCAGUGAAUCAUCGAAUCUUUGAACGCAUAUUGCGCUCUCUGGUAUUCCGGAGAGCAUGCUUGUUUGAGUAUCAGUAAACACCUCAACUUCCAUAUCUUUUUUGAAAUGGGAGUUGGACUUGAGUGAUCCCAACGCUUUUCCUCACCGAAAAGUGGCGGGUUACUUGAAAUGCAGGUGCAGCUGGACUUUUCUCUGAGCUAUAAGCAUAUCUAUUUAGUCUGCCUAAAAAACAGAUUAUUACCUUUGCUGCAGCUAACAUAAAGGAGAUUAGUUCUUGUGCUGACUGAUGCAGGAUUCACAAAGACAGGCUUCGGCCGACUUUGUAAACUCGAUCUCAAAUCAAGUAAGACUACCCGCUGAACUUAAGCAUAUCAAUAAGCGGAGGA